rnacentral:rRNA from 1 species
AUCAUUAAUGAUACUUGGAGAUUCUGAUGCUGGCGUUUACUCGCAUGUGCUCGAUCUCCUUAAUCCAUUCAACACCUGUGCACCUUUGUGAAGGAGAGCGAAAGUUCACCUUCAUUUUAUACAAACUCUUUAUUGAAAUCUGAAUGCUCAUUGGCCGAAAGGCUCUAAAAUAAAACAACUUUCAACAACGGAUCUCUUGGUUCUCGCAUCGAUGAAGAACGCAGCGAAAUGCGAUAAGUAGUGUGAAUUGCAGAAACUAGUGAAUCAUUGAAUCUUUGAACGCACAUUGCGCCUCCUGGUAUUCCGGGAGGCAUGCCUGUUCGAGCGUCAUUAAAAACCACUCAAGCUCUUUUGCUUGGUCAUGGAAGAAGAGUUUGCUUGCAAUCUCUCCUCCGAAAUUCAAAGGCGGAAAGUCUCAGAGCCCCGGCGUAGUAAUAAUAUUUCGCUUGGAACUUGAAAUGAUCCUGCCCUUAACCCCCAAUUUAUCUAGGUUGACC